UCGCCUUUUUAUCCCGUGUCUUCGUUGGGCCAAUCGCUCACCUUGCCCAUGUUUUCGCCGCGGCCCUGCUCGACCGAGCGUCUGCAGGAGAUCGCGAAGCUUUGCCUUCGUCGCUGUCGGUAGGGGUAUCUUCUUCGAUUUGUUCCACAUCGCGUCGUACUCCGACGAUGCUGCCAUCGCCAGAUCCCUUUCUACGGCGCCGAAGUAGGCUUGAUUUCACCCAGGGCUGCUGUGCAAAUGCUCCUAUGAUCUCUUUGGCUGACUGGAGCCAGCACUCAGAAGAAUACUCGUAGAAUUACUAUGUGAGCAAGUGAAUGAUAUUUAUGGGCGUUAUUUUCACAUCGUAGUUCCUGUCAUGUUUCUCCAGGAAAAUGUCACACCAAAAUGAAUUGUUGAGAGAAAGGAAGAAAAACCGCAAGUGGUUGAAUGCAAAAUCUAAAUCGGAUGAGGGGACUAGCUGUGGGGAGCACUACCUUGCUCGGAGAACCCAAACCUCCCCUUUGCAAGCAUCUAGAUUACUGCUGAAUUCCUCUGGAACUGUCAUGAACAUUAGGAACAAUUUGGUAACUUGGCCUUGACCCAGGAGGUUCCCUGUGAUCAGCGAUGAGGAGUUCUGGGUAUACAAGUCACUUCCAUUGUUUCAAGUAAGAUUUCUUGUUGCACUGCUUAGUUUUUAUGCGAUUGUUUCGUUUGCAGUAGCAACAUUAUCAUCGCAAAGUGAGUUACCUUGAUAGAAUGAAGUGAAAUUGGUGCUGACAGCUUUCCUUACACGCCUUGCCUUCUAGUUAGCUUUUUCUUACACAUCAUUAUCAGAUACAGGCUGUAUUUUUUUGUGGACAUUUUCUUGCCUUCUAGUUAGCUUUUUCUUACACAUCAUUAUCAGAUACAGGCUGUAUUUUUUGUGGACAUUUUUUCUUCAGAGGAAUAAAUAUGAUAACAUUCUGACUGGAAAAAAG